rnacentral:rRNA from 1 species
AUGAACGCUGGCGGCGUGCCUAAUACAUGCAAGUCGAGCGAACAGACGAGGAGCUUGCUCCUCUGACGUUAGCGGCGGACGGGUGAGUAACACGUGGAUAACCUACCUAUAAGACUGGGAUAACUUCGGGAAACCGGAGCUAAUACCGGAUAAUAUAUUGAACCGCAUGGUUCAAUAGUGAAAGACGGUUUUGCUGUCACCUAUAGAUGGAUCCGCGCCGCAUUAGCUAGUUGGUAAGGUAACGGCUUACCAAGGCAACGAUGCGUAGCCGACCUGAGAGGGUGAUCGGCCACACUGGAACUGAGACACGGUCCAGACUCCUACGGGAGGCAGCAGUAGGGAAUCUUCCGCAAAGGGCGAAAGCCUGACGGAGCAACGCCGCGUGAGUGAUGAAGGUCUUCGGAUCGUAAAACUCUGUUAUUAGGGAAGAACAAAUGUGUAAGUAACUAUGCACGUCUUGACGGUACCUAAUCAGAAAGCCACGGCUAACUACGUG